rnacentral:rRNA from 1 species
UCUGAGAGGAUGAUCAGCCACACUGGAACUGAGACACGGUCCAGACUCCUACGGGAGGCAGCAGUGGGGAAUAUUGCACAAUGGGCGAAAGCCUGAUGCAGCCAUGCCGCGUGUAUGAAGAAGGCCUUCGGGUUGUAAAGUACUUUCAGUUGUGAGGAAGGGGGUGUCGUUAAUAGCGGCAUCUCUUGACGUUAGCAACAGAAGAAGCACCGGCUAACUCCGUGCCAGCAGCCGCGGUAAUACGGAGGGUGCGAGCGUUAAUCGGAAUUACUGGGCGUAAAGCGCAUGCAGGUGGUUCAUUAAGUCAGAUGUGAAAGCCCGGGGCUCAACCUCGGAACUGCAUUUGAAACUGGUGAACUACAGUACUGUAGAGGGGGGUAGAAUUUCAGGUGUAGCGGUGAAAUGCGUACAGAUCUGAAGGAAUACCAGUGGCGAAGGCGGCCCCCUGGACAGAUACUGACACUUUGAUGCGAAAGCGUG